rnacentral:rRNA from 1 species
GGACGAACGCUGGCGGCGUGCCUAAUACAUGCAAGUCGAACGCUUCUUUUUCCACCGGAGCUUGCUCCACCGGAAAAAGAGGAGUGGCGAACGGGUGAGUAACACGUGGGUAACCUGCCCAUCAGAAGGGGAUAACACUUGGAAACAGGUGCUAAUACCGUAUAACAAUCGAAACCGCAUGGUUUUGAUUUGAAAGGCGCUUUCGGGUGUCGCUGAUGGAUGGACCCGCGGUGCAUUAGCUAGUUGGUGAGGUAACGGCUCACCAAGGCGACGAUGCAUAGCCGACCUGAGAGGGUGAUCGGCCACAUUGGGACUGAGACACGGCCCAAACUCCUACGGGAGGCAGCAGUAGGGAAUCUUCGGCAAUGGACGAAAGUCUGACCGAGCAACGCCGCGUGAGUGAAGAAGGUUUUCGGAUCGUAAAACUCUGUUGUUAGAGAAGAACAAGGAUGAGAGUAACUGUUCAUCCCUUGACGGUAUCUAACCAGAAAGCCACGGCUAACUACGUGCCAGCAGCCGCGGUAAUACGUAGGUGGCAAGCGUUGUCCGGAUUUAUUGGGCGUAAAGCGAGCGCAGGCGGUUUCUUAAGUCUGAUGUGAAAGCCCCCGGCUCAACCGGGGAGGGUCAUUGGAAACUGGGAGACUUGAGUGCAGAAGAGGAGAGUGGAAUUCCAUGUGUAGCGGUGAAAUGCGUAGAUAUAUGGAGGAACACCAGUGGCGAAGGCGGCUCUCUGGUCUGUAACUGACGCUGAGGCUCGAAAGCGUGGGGAGCAAACAGGAUUAGAUACCCUGGUAGUCCACGCCGUAAACGAUGAGUGCUAAGUGUUGGAGGGUUUCCGCCCUUCAGUGCUGCAGCUAACGCAUUAAGCACUCCGCCUGGGGAGUACGACCGCAAGGUUGAAACUCAAAGGAAUUGACGGGGGCCCGCACAAGCGGUGGAGCAUGUGGUUUAAUUCGAAGCAACGCGAAGAACCUUACCAGGUCUUGACAUCCUUUGACCACUCUAGAGAUAGAGCUUCCCCUUCGGGGGCAAAGUGACAGGUGGUGCAUGGUUGUCGUCAGCUCGUGUCGUGAGAUGUUGGGUUAAGUCCCGCAACGAGCGCAACCCUUAUUGUUAGUUGCCAUCAUUUAGUUGGGCACUCUAGCAAGACUGCCGGUGACAAACCGGAGGAAGGUGGGGAUGACGUCAAAUCAUCAUGCCCCUUAUGACCUGGGCUACACACGUGCUACAAUGGGAAGUACAACGAGUCGCAAAGUCGCGAGGCUAAGCUAAUCUCUUAAAGCUUCUCUCAGUUCGGAUUGUAGGCUGCAACUCGCCUACAUGAAGCCGGAAUCGCUAGUAAUCGCGGAUCAGCACGCCGCGGUGAAUACGUUCCCGGGCCUUGUACACACCGCCCGUCACACCACGAGAGUUUGUAACACCCGAAGUCGGUGAGGUAACCUUUUGGAGCCAGCCGCCUAAGGUGGGAUAGAUGAUUGGGGUGAAGUCGUAACAAGG